UCCCGGUUAACCCGGGCAGUCUCAUUAGAGUUCCCACCUUAAAUGUUGGCAACUAAUGACAAGGGUUGCGCUCGUUGCUGGACUUAACCAAACACCUCACGGCACGAGCUGACGACAGCCAUGCAGCACCUGUGCACCGGCCCCGAAGGGAGACGCCAUUUCUGGCGCUGUCCAGUGCAUGUCAAGUCUGGGUAAGGUUCUUCGCGUUGCAUCGAAUUAAACCACAUGCUCCACUGCUUGUGCGGGUCCCCGUCAAUUCUUUUGAGUUUCAGCCUUGCGACUGUACUCCCCAGGCGGUAUACUUAACGCGUUCGCUACGGCACAACCGGGGUUGAGUCCAGUUACACCAAGUAUACAUAGUUUAGGGCAAGGACUAC
rnacentral:misc_RNA from 1 species